CAACAGGCGGAAACUGCUUUCCCAUUGGAGAAGAUUCAACCAGACGUUCUAAUCCGGUCACAAUCUGUAACCUGGUGUUUGAAGAAACUCCAAGGAAAACACCCCAAAGUAAUGCACUCUUUACAAGAGGUGGAACAGGAACAUCGUGCUCUGAUUUCUUGACGCUCCGCUUGGCAGUCAUUAUCAUUGGCCAAGGAAUUGCAAAUAUGAUAAUGACUGCCAAGCGG
rnacentral:misc_RNA from 1 species